rnacentral:lncRNA from 1 species
CAUUCCUGUCUUUUCUCCAGAAUGCACGAUAACAGCAAGUCUAUGCACCUUGUAAAUGGAUUUCAGCCUGCAUAACAUAGCAGAGUGAGGCAUCUGUCUGUGAGGCCUCCACUGAGUUUUCCACAUUAAUUCACAAGAGACCUUGUUGGAAAGGACUAGAGGACAGAGUUUGAUGUCACAGUCAUGAGAAAAGGAGGUGUCUACAUGGUAGCAUAGAUAGGAAGGCUGAAUUCUUAAGAAGGUAGAAGGAAAGCAAACAACAAGCUCGGAUCCUGGUGGGGGCAUAGAUUACAUUACAAGGGAACUCCAUCAACAUACUGAGAUUCUGGGGGGCAGAUUUAGUAUGGAAUAGAGGAUUGGUAAGGUCCAAAGUUGCCAGGAGGCAGAAGGGCGUUGACCCAAUAGUCAGGAAACACAAUGGACCUGCAGGAGAGUCGACUCAGUAGUUAGGAAACACAAUGGACCUGCAGGAGAGUCGACUCAGUAGUCAGGUAACACAAUGGACCUGCAGGAGAGUCGACUUAGUAGUCAGGUAACACAAUGGACUUGGUUGUUUAGGCUUCAGAUGGGGAGAGAUUAUGAGGAGUUCCAGUUAAGGCAAAACAGUGAUGUUUUCAUCUCUCUGAAGACAGAGCCAGCAAGAGGCCAAGUGUCACCAUGCUGUGGGCUGUGCAAUAUGUCCACCAUUGACCUGCAGCUGAAGGCAUGUAAGUCCACACUAUCUGGAGGAAGCUUUC